GCCAGGCGCAGUGAGUGGUGAGUGCCUGUAAUCCCAGCAACUCGGAGGCUGAGGCAGGAGGAUAGCAAGUUUGAGGCCAGCCUCAGCAACUUAGUAAGACCCUAUCCCAA
rnacentral:sRNA from 1 species